CGAAGGGUGCAAACGUUGCUCGGAAUUAUUGGGCGUAAAGCGCACGUAGGCGGCCUUGUAAGUCGGAUGUGAAAUCCCUCGGCUUAACCGAGGACGUGCAUCCGAAACUGUGAGGCUCGAGUAUGGAAGAGGGUCGCAGAAUUCCCGGUGUAGAGGUGAAAUUCGUAGAUAUCGGGAGGAAUACCAGUGGCGAAGGCGGCGACCUGGGCCAAUACUGACGCUGAGGUGCGAAAGCGUGGGGAGCAAACAGGGUUAGAUACCCUGGUAGUCCACGCCGUAAACGAUGAGUGCUAGGUGCUGCGGGUAUUGACCCCUGCGGUGCCGUAGCUAACGCGUUAAGCACUCCGCCUGGGGAGUACGGCCGCAAGGCUA
rnacentral:rRNA from 1 species